rnacentral:rRNA from 1 species
CCUACGGGAGGCAGCAGUGGGGAAUUUUCCGCAAUGGGCGCAAGCCUGACGGAGCAACGCCGCGUGAGGGAUGAAGGCCUCUGGGCUGUAAACCUCUUUUCUCAAGGAAGAAGACCUGACGGUACUUGAGGAAUAAGCCACGGCUAAUUCCGUGCCAGCAGCCGCGGUAAUACGGGAGUGGCAAGCGUUAUCCGGAAUUAUUGGGCGUAAAGCGUCCGCAGGCGGCCUAUUAAGUCUGUCGUUAAAGCGUGGAGCUCAACUCCAUUUAAGCGAUGGAAACUGGAAGGCUAGAGUGUGGUAGGGGCAGAGGGAAUUCCCGGUGUAGCGGUGAAAUGCGUAGAUAUCGGGAAGAACACCAGUGGCGAAGGCGCUCUGCUGGGCCAUAACUGACGCUCAUGGACGAAAGCCAGGGGAGCGAAAGGGAUUAGAUACCCCUGUAGUCCUGGCCGUAAACGAUGAACACUAGGUGUCGGGGAAUCGACCCCCUCGGUGUCGUAGCUAACGCGUUAAGUGUUCCGCCUGGGGAGUACGCACGCAAGUGUGAAACUCAAAGGAAUUGACGG